rnacentral:rRNA from 1 species
CCUACGGGUGGCAGCAGUCGAGAAUCAUUCACAAUGGGGGAAACCCUGAUCGUGCGACGCCGCGUGGGGGAAUGAAGGUCUUCGGAUUGUAAACCCCUGUCAUGUGGGAGCAAAUUAAAAAGAUAGUACCCCAAGAGGAAGAGACGGCUAACUCUGUGCCAGCAGCCGCGGUAAUACAGAGGUCUCAAGCGUUGUUCGGAAUCACUGGGCGUAAAGCGUGCGUAGGCUGUUUCGUAAGUCGUGUGUGAAAGGCGCGGGCUUAACCCGCGGACGGCACAUGAUACUGCGAGACUAGAGUAAUGGAGGGGGAACCGGAAUUCUCGGUGUAGCAGUGAAAUGCGUAGAUAUCGAGAGGAACACUCGUGGCGAAGGCGGGUUCCUGGACAUUAACUGACGCUGAGGCACGAAGGCCAGGGGAGCGAAAGGGAUUAGAUACCCGGGUAGUC